rnacentral:rRNA from 1 species
GUAGGGAAUAUUGGGCAAUGGUCGGAAGACUGACCCAGCCAUGCCGCGUGCAGGAAGACGGCCCUCUGGGUUGUAAACUGCUUUUAUCUGGGAAGAAAAAGGCCAUGCGUGGCAAAUUGCCGGUACCAGAUGAAUAAGCACCGGCUAACUCCGUGCCAGCAGCCGCGGUAAUACGGAGGGUGCGAGCGGUGUCCGGAUUUAUUGGGUUUAAAGGGUGCGUAGGCGGCUGAUUAAGUCAGCGGUGAAAGACUUCGGCUUAACCGGGGCAGUGCCGUUGAUACUGGUUGGCGUGAGUGUCGGAGGGGUACAUGGAAUUGAUGGUGUAGCGGUGAAAUGCAUAGAUACCAUCAGGAACACCGAUAGCGAAGGCAUUGUACUGGCCGACAACUGACGCUGAGGCACGAAAGUGUGGGGAUCGAACAGGAUUAGAUACCCGUGUAGUCC